rnacentral:lncRNA from 1 species
AAAAAAAUGGGACUAAACAGGGCAGCACCGGCGGCCCUCUUCAUCCUCCCUCCAUGCAGCGCGGCGUUCUCCAUGGCAGCGGCGUGGGUGUCCACGGCGGCUGCGCCCCUCCCCACGCGGUUUCGGUGGUGGUGGUUCCUCCCCACGUAGAUCCGGCGGCGGUGCCCCUCCUCUUCCACGACUUCCUCCCCACAUGGAUCCUGUGGCGGCGCACCUCUCCACGCGGUUUCGUCGGCGGUGGUGCCCCUCCUCCCCUUCCUCGGCUUCCUCACCGCACGGAUCCGGCGGCGGCGCCCCUCCUCACCUUCCUUCCCACGUGGCGACGCACAAUGUAUGCCCACUUGCUAUACUCUGUACCAGGCAUCUAUACAUCAGUGGACUGGGCCACUUCUGUAGACACUGUGUUUUAAAUAGCGGGCUAAGACGUUUAGAGGUUCAUGUCUAAAACAGCUAAUAGCGGAGCUAAAUCGGGCUAUAGCGGAAUAUAGCGGCUAAAUUGUACAUGAACACAAAUAGCGACACUCUACCUCAAAAGGCUAUAGCGGGCUAUAGCGGCAGCUAUAGCGGGAUAUUUAAAACUAUGGAGGUGUCAGAGAAAUCACAUCAAUGCCAACAAAACGAAUGCUAAUGAUCAAGGUAUAAAUAUAAAUGAGCAUGUAAUCACCAAUUGAAUUACACAUACAAGUAGUAGGCAACAAUCAGUCCAUUGUAUGUUGCUGCGGUGGUGCACAGAAAUAAGUUAAUUCAUUACAAUAAGGUUUAGAAUGGUUCAGAAACACUGGCAAACACGGAAGAUUGACAUAUGCCAUAUUUCAAGACCAAUGUAAUGCCAUAUUUUAAACUCCGAUCCAAGCAACUGAAUUCACAUGAGAAUGUGGGUGACAUAUGCUAGCUAAUCAUUUCAUCAAAGAGCUCAGGGGCACCAAAGGAAAUAGGGAAGACUAUUAACAAUCAGCAGGCUUUGGUUGUUUCAUCAUCAGUGCUUCCAACUAAUUUGGCCCAUCUACUGCGUAAGGUGGGAUGAUUCUAAGAGAGGAAACAUUGGAGGGAAAGUCCUUCAUGAGCCAACCCUCUUACAACAAUGCAAGGCAUGGACCUAGGAAGGACAGACAAAAAUAUCAGUUGGAAACCAGAUUCCUUGAAAUCAAGAAAGCCAGGAGCAAGCAGAAAUGAAGAAAUCAUGAAACUUGUGACGCCUAUAUAGCCGUCGUUUCAAACUUUAUUAAGACAUGCCUAUAAUCCAAACUUUGUUCCAUGCCUAACCUGAAGGUUUUGAACAAAACAUAAGGGAGAGAAAGAAACCACACUGGAUAAACCAUGACACUAUCAUAUCUCGAACAGUUAAAGACAUACAUAAUUCCUCGUCGGCCUCAAGUCAUCACGUACUGUGAAUACUCGGAUUUAGAAUUAUAUAGCUUGAGCGCUCGACAACCUCAGUGAAAAUUUGUACAUGUUGUGGUCUGUGAAAUCCAAGGAUUGAUUUAGCUACAGACAGGGAGAAGAAACCUUAAGUGCCAAACAUACACCAACACCACAAGUUACUGGAUAUCCUGGAUAGCAGAUAUCGAUUGACACUUACUCUUGUUACUGUGAGAUGCAAGCACACAAAUCCAAGUCGUCUUAAACUCGAAUCCUCAGGAAUUGAGUUGGAGUUGGGGAACGGGAAAGUAUAGGGUUACUAGGCUGUCGAAGGAGAAGCACCAUAACAGAGGGAAGCAAGCGGAGAGCGGGCAAGAUAUGCCGCCGUCUGUUGGAGAAGGGUUGUAUGGGGCGCCGCCGCAUGGAGGAAGCCCAACAUGCAAGGGAUGGGAGGUGUAUCUGGAUCUGUGCUGCUAGCUAGCGG